rnacentral:lncRNA from 1 species
UCUGGAAAAUAAAUUUACUAUAUUAACUGAAACACCACUCUUUGUGUAGGUAUUUGUCAUAUAUUUAAGAAAAAUCUAAAAAGAAUGGAAAUUGUAUGACAAUAACUUAAGUCUUUCUUCAAAGUGCAUGCAGUCUUUUGCGAUACUUCAUUCAGCCAAGUAUUUGUGCUUUUCCUCAUUCAGUACAAGGCAGCUUUCAAUUUGCUUAGAAGGCAACAUUGGAAGGUUAGAGUUAAUCAAAAACAUAGAAUUUUAAAAUGUGAGUUCAACUGAAUAAAUUUGAAUUUCUGUAGGAAGAAUCAAAACACCUAAAGAUUGAAAUAUAUAAUAAUCAUUUUAAAAGUAUUUGAUUAAACCUGAUAGGUUUUCCAGAAAUGAAAAAAAAUCAGCUCUAAAAUCAAAGCUGAUUUUUAGAAAAUUUGAAAAUGUAAAUCAGCCCCAUCCAUAAUAUAGUUUCUCAAAAACUUUAUCUUAAAGAGUCAUUUUUAAAUAAUAUAAUUAUUAAAAAAUAUAACUGCUAUCUUAAUGUUCUGAAAUAAGUUAAAACAUUUAAAAAUAUGAAUACUGUAGUUUAAAAGAAAGAAAUGGUGGGAAGGAAAAGUAGACAAAGAAAUGCCAAUUCCAGUCCAAAGCUUUAUUUGCCAAGUUUUCUUAGAAUGAAUUUUACCAAUUUAUGAAUUCUUAUAAACAUAAUGUAUAAUGGAAAUACUGAAACACUUUUGCCUAAAGUGGCAUUAUUGACUGCUGGCGUGAUGCUACUGUAAUGCAAUAAAUUAUUAAAUUGUUGC